rnacentral:rRNA from 1 species
GAUGAACGCUGGCGGCGUGCCUAACACAUGCAAGUCGAACGGAGAUUACGGACGGAAGUUUUCGGAUGGAAGACUGUAAUUCUUAGUGGCGGACGGGUGAGUAACGCGUGGGCAACCUGCCCUAUACAGGGGGAUAGCAGCUGGAAACGGCUGGUAAGACCGCAUAAGUCGGUUAAAUCGCAUGAUUUGAUCGGGAAAUGAGCAAUCAGGUAUAGGAUGGGCCCGCGUCCGAUUAGCCAGUUGGCAGGGUAAAAGCCUACCAAAGCGACGAUCGGUAGCCGGACUGAGAGGUCGGACGGCCACAUUGGGACUGAGACACGGCCCAAACUCCUACGGGAGGCAGCAGUGGGGGAUAUUGCACAAUGGAGGAAACUCUGAUGCAGCGACGCCGCGUGAGUGAAGAAGUAUUUCGGUAUGUAAAGCUCUAUCAGCAGGGAAGAUGAUGACGGUACCUGACUAAGAAGCCCCGGCUAACUACGUGCCAGCAGCCGCGGUAAUACGUAGGGGGCAAGCGUUAUCCGGAUUUACUGGGUGUAAAGGGAGCGCAGGCGGUUUUGCAAGUUGAGAGUGGAAGCAGGGGGCUCAACCCCCUGACUGCUCCCAAAACUGUAAAACUUGAGUAUGGGAGAGGCAGGCGGAAUUCCUAGUGUAGCGGUGAAAUGCUUAGAUAUUAGGAAGAACACCGGUGGCGAAGGCGGCCUGCUGGACCAAAACUGACGCUGAGGCUCGAAAGCGUGGGUAGCAAACAGG